rnacentral:rRNA from 1 species
CCUACGGGGUGCUGCAGUGGGGAAUAUUGCACAAUGGGCGCAAGCCUGAUGCAGCCAUGCCGCGUGUGUGAAGAAGGCCUUCGGGUUGUAAAGCACUUUCAGCGGGGAGGAAGGCGGUGAGGUUAAUAACCUCAUCGAUUGACGUUACCCGCAGAAGAAGCACCGGCUAACUCCGUGCCAGCAGCCGCGGUAAUACGGAGGGUGCAAGCGUUAAUCGGAAUUACUGGGCGUAAAGCGCACGCAGGCGGUCUGUCAAGUCGGAUGUGAAAUCCCCGGGCUCAACCUGGGAACUGCAUUCGAAACUGGCAGGCUAGAGUCUUGUAGAGGGGGGUAGAAUUCCAGAUGUAGCGGUGAAAUGCGUAGAGAUCUGGAGGAAUACCGGUGGCGAAGGCGGCCCCCUGGACAAAGACUGACGCUCAGGUGCGAAAGCGUGGGGAGCAAACAGGAUUAGAUACCCGAGUAGUC